UCACCCCUUUAGGUCCAGUCUGAUUGGUGCUCCCAGGGAUGUAGCUCCUAGUGCUGACCCUCCCUCUGGGGGCCCAUCCCUGCAGUGCCUUUCUUCCUGACGUGGAGUGUGGUGA
rnacentral:precursor_RNA from 8 species